rnacentral:tRNA from 1 species
GAGGAUAUAGCUAAGUGGUAGAGUGCAUGCUUAGCAUGCACAAGGUCCUGGGUUCAACCCCCAGUACCUCCA